CGAACCAACUGCCUCCCAUUUUUAUUUACCUUUGAUCUCCUUCAUUCUCCAAUCAACUAUCACCAUCUUCUUCUCACCAACAACAAAAUCAACAGAUUUUUUCAACAAAAUCAAGUGAGGAGCUCUAGGAUUCCUAGGUUCUUCUUACUAGAGUCCACCUGCACAUUUGGUUAAAAUUUUCUCCAAUACGAGGAUCGACCAUUGAACCUAGCAUAUCAUUGAUCACAAAAGGAAAACGAGGUUACUAUUCAUAAAACAAUAGUGGGAGUCGCUGCUUCAACAUUGGCUUUUGGGGCUCUUUGGAUUCACAGACUAAAAUCUAGAAAGCAAAUAACUCAUAAACGUCAUGUGAAUCGAGAUUGUGAAAGAGAAAACUACAUCAAUAGUAUUUUAUAUAGAGGUGACUAGAAUUGUAUCAACAUAAUAAGGAUGCGUCCGGUUGUGUUUUUUUAAUCUGUGUGAGAUCCUUACUAGGAACAAUUUAUUGUAGUCGACAAGA